rnacentral:rRNA from 1 species
ACAGAGGGUGCGAGCGUUAAUCGGAAUUACUGGGCGUAAAGCGUGCGUAGGCGGUUUGUUAAGUCUGUCGUGAAAGCCCUGGGCUCAACCUGGGAAUUGCGAUGGAUACUGGUAAGCUAGAGUACGGUAGAGGAUGGUGGAAUUCCCGGUGUAGCGGUGAAAUGCGUAGAGAUCGGGAGGAACACCCGUGGCGAAGGCGGCCAUCUGGACCAGUACUGACGCUGAGGCACGAAAGCGUGGGGAGCAAACAGGA